rnacentral:lncRNA from 1 species
GCACACGUGGGCCAGAAAGGCGUGUGCCCCCAACACUGGCACCUCCAGGGGAGCAUUGCCAGCUCUGCUGCCCCAAAUCCAUGGGAAUUGGCUGGGAUACACCGGGCUGGAGUGGAGCAGAGCAGGAGGAACCCAGGAGGAGCUGGCUGUGGUCACUGCAGUGGGAGCCUCUGAAGGAAAAGAGCAAACCCUUUGACUGGAGCCUGCAUUGCUGUGAGAAGUCGGUGUUUAAAAUGUUGUGGCACUGUUUGAGGAGAGGUGGCAGUGAGCUGUCCCCAUUCCAGCAGAGUUAGGGAGUACUGGGAGCAGAAGCCUUGUUCACAGAGGAGAAGACAUCAACCAUCCCUCUCCUGGAAGUGUUUGAAGGGUUUGGCUGACCCCAAACCCUCCAGCUGGAAAG